rnacentral:rRNA from 1 species
UUGAACGCUGGCGGCAGGCCUAACACAUGCAAGUCGAACGGUAACAGGAAGCAGCUUGCUGCUUUGCUGACGAGUGGCGGACGGGUGAGUAAUGUCUGGGAAACUGCCCGAUGGAGGGGGAUAACUACUGGAAACGGUAGCUAAUACCGCAUAACGUCGCAAGACCAAAGAGGGGGACCUUCGGGCCUCUUGCCAUCGGAUGUGCCCAGAUGGGAUUAGCUAGUAGGUGGGGUAACGGCUCACCUAGGCGACGAUCCCUAGCUGGUCUGAGAGGAUGACCAGCCACACUGGAACUGAGACACGGUCCAGACUCCUACGGGAGGCAGCAGUGGGGAAUAUUGCACAAUGGGCGCAAGCCUGAUGCAGCCAUGCCGCGUGUAUGAAGAAGGCCUUCGGGUUGUAAAGUACUUUCAGCGGGGAGGAAGGGAGUAAAGUUAAUACCUUUGCUCAUUGACGUUACCCGCAGAAGAAGCACCGGCUAACUCCGUGCCAGCAGCCGCGGUAAUACGGAGGGCGCAAGCGUUAAUCGGAAUUACUGGGCGUAAAGCGCACGCAGGCGGUUUGUUAAGUCAGAUGUGAAAUCCCCGGGCUCAACCUGGGAACUGCAUCUGAUACUGGCAAGCUUGAGUCUCGUAGAGGGGGGUAGAAUUCCAGGUGUAGCGGUGAAAUGCGUAGAGAUCUGGAGGAAUACCGGUGGCGAAGGCGGCCCCCUGGACGAAGACUGACGCUCAGGUGCGAAAGCGUGGGGAGCAAACAGGAUUAGAUACCCUGGUAGUCCACGCCGUAAACGAUGUCGACUUGGAGGUUGUGCCCUUGAGGCGUGGCUUCCGGAGCUAACGCGUUAAGUCGACCGCCUGGGGAGUACGGCCGCAAGGUUAAAACUCAAAUGAAUUGACGGGGGCCCGCACAAGCGGUGGAGCAUGUGGUUUAAUUCGAUGCAACGCGAAGAACCUUACCUGGUCUUGACAUCCACGGAAGUUUUCAGAGAUGAGAAUGUGCCUUCGGGAACCGUGAGACAGGUGCUGCAUGGCUGUCGUCAGCUCGUGUUGUGAAAUGUUGGGUUAAGUCCCGCAACGAGCGCAACCCUUAUCCUUUGUUGCCAGCGGUCCGGCCGGGAACUCAAAGGAGACUGCCAGUGAUAAACUGGAGGAAGGUGGGGAUGACGUCAAGUCAUCAUGGCCCUUACGACCAGGGCUACACACGUGCUACAAUGGCGCAUACAAAGAGAAGCGACCUCGCGAGAGCAAGCGGACCUCAUAAAGUGCGUCGUAGUCCGGAUUGGAGUCUGCAACUCGACUCCAUGAAGUCGGAAUCGCUAGUAAUCGUGGAUCAGAAUGCCACGGUGAAUACGUUCCCGGGCCUUGUACACACCGCCCGUCACACCAUGGGAGUGGGUUGCAAAAGAAGUAGGUAGCUUAACCUUCGGGAGGGCGCUUACCACUUUGUGAUUCAUGACUGG